rnacentral:snRNA from 1 species
GGAUGUGAGGGUGAUCUGGCUACAGCAUCUGUUACCCCACUGAUUGUCAGGGUUGAUCCGGCUGAUCUGGCUGGCUAGGUGGGUGUCUCCUUCUUCCCUCAGCUCUCCAUGUACAUCCCUCCUGAAGCUGUGAGCUUAGUCAAAGAGGACAACCUUCUCCAAUAGAGGACCAUUCUUCAGUCAAGGAUAUACGAGUAGCUGUGCUCCCCUGCUAGAACCUCCAAACAAGCUCUCAAAAUGACCUUUACACUUAAUCAAGAGUUCCUGUGCCUGUCAUCUCCAUACUUGGAAUCUUAAUAACCUAUAUAGCACUUAGAAGCCACUCUGGGCUGAGCAUAGUGGCUCACGCCUGUAAU